CCACUCACCACCGGCGCUUGCCAGCCACCGCCACCGCCACCGCCACCUGCAAAUCACCGCCACCACAUAAUCACAGGUCUCAUUUGAGGAGAGAAAUGAAGAACUGUUUGCGAUGAAAUGGAUUGCUAACUCACACUGCAUUAUAUCUUAGCCAAGAAUCUGGUGGAUUUUGCUUUUGACUGACUUCAAUUCUUCAGGUAAACAUUCCUGUAUGGUUCGCUGUGGAUACGAGACUUGGAAGCUUGUUUAUCCAUUUGGAUACACCACAAUUGUUUUCUGCAGAAAUGUAUUCGGCGGACCUUAACAUCAUUGGGAAACCUGAGGAUGACAAGAUUAAUUUGGCUCAUGAAACUCUUAAAGGGCUGUUGGCUCAUUGUUUAACCAAAAGAAGGCAGAGAUUUGGAUAUCAAGCUUCAGCGAUUGGAGAAAAAUUGUUCCACAUGAACCUAAAUUUUUUUAAUUUUUUUUUUUAUUUCUGUUCUUAUGAUUGCCUUCCAUUACUUUGUUUUCCCCUCCCUCUCUUUGGUCUUGUACUGUUGUUUGCAUGGUUCAGUGGGCAAAAUUAGUUUUCCUUAAGUACAAAGAGAUGUAGCUUUUAUUUACAUCCAUGUGAGGGCUCAGCUGUCCAGAUUUUUACGCAAGGGAAACUGAGUGCACCUCGUAUAUUGAGAAUGCAUAAAGUUAUUAACUAUGUUGUAGAAAAUAUGGUUCUUGACAAACCAUUAGAUAACAUGGACAUUGAUGGAACUUUUGCUCCUGGAUUGCCAAUAGGGUAGUUACAACAUCCAGCUGUUGGAGGAGAUGGUUCAUUUCAGUUGAAACCUUGGCAAAAGCUUAAGCUUUCUAUAGAGAUCUUCUGUAACAAUCAAGGUUUGUUAAAUGAUGGUGGCACAAUAUUGCUAGACAAGCUGGCGGGGUAUUUCUGUAUCAGUAAAAUCUUAAUUUUGUUUAUCUAUGAUUUUGUUGAACCUCAAUUCGUAUUUAGCUAACUACUUGCUCUCUUCUCCUUCUUAUCCCUGUGAUUUGGUAACUCAGAAUACUGUUAUUAUAUCAACUGGAUCCUUCUCUAGAUGCAAAAUUUGCUGGAUGAAUUACAAUUUCAGUUAGUUUAUUUUUUAAUAUAAUUUUUUUUUAUUAUGUAAAAAGUGAAAAUGUCUGUCUGGAGCAUGGUAAAACAGUUUCACCCCAACCCCCCCUCACCCUUUGAACUAUUUCUUAUGUAUUUUGGCUUCAAGUAGAUGAAAGUAAUCUUGAUAGAAAAGGCAUAUACUUAACGAGGAUAAUAGCAAUUGCUUAUACAACAUCAAUGUUUUCCUUU